rnacentral:lncRNA from 1 species
GUCACAUUCAGAGCUCUUCCUCCCUUAGGAGAGGUUGCACAUUCGUCACUUCAUCUGCCUCCCAUUUCCUCCAGUUGGGAUCACACAGCCCUUCCUGAACUAAGCUGAAAGCGUUUCCUCUCACCGGAGAGACGGCCCUGCACAGCUGGGGGCCAGGCUGCUCAGCUCAGGCAAAAGCUGUCCCAAGAGGAACAAGUCGCCAGCCAAGGAAGUCUGGAAGCUCAGAGAGGAAUUCAUUGAGGCCUUUACGGGCAGCAGCGGUCAGAACUAGGAUCAUAGACUGGGCCAUGAAGCUCGGUAAUUUAUUUGAUUAAUAGGAAGGACUAGACCGGAGACACCUAGAUUUUUG